AUGGACAACAGGUUGAUAUUCCUGUACCACCUCCUCACCGUUUGAGAAAUGGGGGGACGCAGUAGGAUAGGGUAAGCGCGCUGUUGGAUAUGCGCGUCCAAGCAGUAAGGCGUGUGUGUAGGCAAAUCCGCACACUAUAACGUUGAGCUGUGAUGGCGAGUCCGUAUGGACGAAGUUCCUGAUUUCACACUGCCAAGAAAAGCCUCUAUCGAGGUGAGAGGUGCCCGUACCGCAAACCGACACAGGUAGUCGAGGAGAGAAUCCUAAGGUGUGCGAGAGAACUCUCGUUAAGGAACUCGGCAAAAUGCCCCCGUAACUUCGGGAGAAGGGGUGCUCUUGAGCGUGCAAGCGCAUGAGAGCCGCAGUGAAUAGGCCCAGGCGACUGUUUAGCAAAAACACAGGUCUCUGCAAAACCGUAAGGUGACGUAUAGGGGCUGACGCCUGCCCGGUGCUGGAAGGUUAAGAGGAGUG
rnacentral:rRNA from 1 species